rnacentral:snRNA from 1 species
GUGCUGUUUUAAGUUCAUGAUCCUAGUGUACAGAGAUACAGAGAAGAUUAGCAUGGCCCCUGUUCAAGGAGGACAUGCAAAUUCAUGAAGCAUUCCGUAUUUAU